UACAGAGAGUGCAAACGUUGUUCGGAAUUACUGGGCUUGAAGCGCACGUAGGCGGCGUUGUAAGUGUCGGGUGAAAUCCCACGGCUCACCCGUGGAACUGCCCGGCAUACUGCGAUGCUAGAGUGUGGUAGGGGAGAGCGGAACUCCUGGUGGAGCGGUGAAAUGCGUAGAUAUCAGGAGGAACACCGGUGGCGAAGGCGGCUCUCUGGUCCACAACUGACGCUGAGGUGCGAAAGCUAGGGGAGCGAACGGG
rnacentral:rRNA from 1 species